GCGGCGUGAAUUGGCGAAUGAAUCCAGGGAACUACAAGGAAUUCAGUAUAGCUGGGGUAGGAAGCUGGAGAGACUGAAGUCCCUUUGCACGUUGGAUGAGCUCCCUGACCAGACGGGGCCACCAAGUUGGCUCUGCAGAUGGGCAGAGCCACUGGCUGAGAUUUCUACGCCGGUGCCACUGCAAGCAGGAAUGUGGUCCACCAAGAUCUGAUUGAUGCUAUCCGCUGCUGGUGAAUGGGAAAACAGUCUGAACCCAAGAGCAGCACUUUAAGAUAUAUGCCCAGGAGUGGGAUUGCUGGAUCAUAUGAUGAAGAAAAUAAAUUUU